CACAGACCCUCCACAGGACAGCCCUCUAAGAACCUUUAUUGAGAUUGUCUGAUGAAGAAAAAACAACUUCUGGUGCUGCCUAUUUGAUAAACCCUCAGCAUAGCUCUGUAUCUC
ensembl:misc_RNA predicted gene, 27804